AACGAACGCUGGCGGCAGGCCUAACACAUGCAAGUCGAACGCAUCGCAAGAUGAGUGGCGCACGGGUGAGUAACACGUGGGAAUGUGCCCUUUGGUUCGGAAUAACGUCUGGAAACGGACGCUAAUACCGGAUACGCCCUACGGGGGAAAGAUUCAUUGCCGAAAGAUCGGCCCGCGUCGGAUUAGCUAGUUGGUGGGGUAAUGGCCUACCAAGGCGACGAUCCGAAGCUGGUCUGAGAGGAUGAUCAGCCACACUGGGACUGAGACACGGCCCAGACUCCUACGGGAGGCAGCAGUGGGGAAUAUUGCACAAUGGGCGAAAGCCUGAUGCAGCCAUGCCGCGUGGGUGAAGAAGGCCCUAGGGUUGUAAAGCUCUUUUGUCCGGGACGAUAAUGACGGUACCGGAAGAAUAAGCCCCGGCUAACUUCGUGCCAGCAGCCGCCGUAAAAC
rnacentral:rRNA from 1 species